rnacentral:rRNA from 1 species
GAUGAACGCUGGCGGCGUGCCUAAUACAUGCAAGUCGAGCGAACAGACGAGGAACUUGCUCCUCUGACGUUAGCGGCGGACGGGUGAGUAACACGUGGAUAACCUACCUAUAAGACUGGGAUAACUUCGGGAAACCGGAGCUAAUACCGGAUAAUAUAUUGAACCGCAUGGUUCAAUAGUGAAAGACGGUUUUGCUGUCACUUAUAGAUGGAUCCGCGCCGCAUUAGCUAGUUGGUAAGGUAACGGCUUACCAAGGCAACGAUGCGUAGCCGACCUGAGAGGGUGAUCGGCCACACUGGAACUGAGACACGGUCCAGACUCCUACGGGAGGCAGCAGUAGGGAAUCUUCCGCAAUGGGCGAAAGCCUGACGGAGCAACGCCGCGUGAGUGAUGAAGGUCUUCGGAUCGUAAAACUCUGUUAUUAGGGAAGAACAAAUGUGUAAGUAACUAUGCACGUCUUGACGGUACCUAAUCAGAAAGCCACGGCUAACUACGUG